AUCCGUGAUCUUCUAUCUCUCUCUUCUCUCUCUUCUACCUACCAUCUUCCAUUGGAACCCUAAAUCAAGAUACCAUGUGCGAUCAUCAAAAUACCAUCUCCGCUCAUCAUCUUAGGUGACGAAUCUUUCAAGAAUCAUAGAUCAUUCCACAUAAUUUGCAGAUAUGGAUCCCUUGCACAACAAUCCUUCAUUUUUAAAGCUUAUUGAGGAAGAUGACCCGAUAUUUUUGCAAAUACCUAAUGACUUUGCUUCAAUGAUUUGGGGAGACCAACCACCUUACAAAGAUUCAGUUAAGAUUAUUGAUGGGAACAAGUUAUGGUUUAUUAGAGUGAAAAAAACUGAUGUGGGCCCUGUUCUUGCUGAUGGCUUCACCAAAGUUGUUCGGGAUAGCUGUAUAAGAAAAGAUAACUACCUUAUGUUUGAGUCAUAUGGACCAUCAUCAUUCUUUCUAAUGGUGUUUAAAUUAUUUGUUCAUAAAAACUGCUUUAUAUCCAAAAUGACACCUCACGAAG